rnacentral:snRNA from 1 species
UUCCCACCUUUCCGAUGUGGGAC